rnacentral:rRNA from 1 species
CACCGCCCGUCACGCCAUGAAAGUGGGUUAUACCAGAAGCCGGUGCGCUAACCGCAAGGAAGCAGCCGUUCAAGGUAUGGCUCAUGAUUGGGGCG